UAGCUACAGGCUUAACACAUGCAAGUCGAGGGGCAGCAUGGUCUUAGCUUGCUAAGGCCGAUGGCGACCGGCGCACGGGUGAGUAACACGUAUCCAACCUGCCGUCUACUCUUGGACAGCCUUCUGAAAGGAAGAUUAAUACAAGAUGGCAUCAUGAGUCCACAUGUUCACAUGAUUAAAGGUAUUCCGGUAGACGAUGGGGAUGCGUUCCAUUAGAUAGUAGGCGGGGUAACGGCCCACCUAGUCUUCGAUGGAUAGGGGUUCUGAGAGGAAGGUCCCCCACAUUGGAACUGAGACACGGUCCAAACUCCUACGGGAGGCAGCAGUGAGGAAUAUUGGUCAAUGGGCGAGAGCCUGAACCAGCCAAGUAGCGUGAAGGAUGACUGCCCUAUGGGUUGUAAACUUCUUUUAUAAAGGAAUAAAGUCGGGUAUGCAUACCCGUUUGCAUGUACUUUAUGAAUAAGGAUCGGCUAACUCCGUGCCAGCAGCCGCGGUAAUACGGAGGAUCCGAGCGUUAUCCGGAUUUAUUGGGUUUAAAGGGAGCGUAGAUGGAUGUUUAAGUCAGUUGUGAAAGUUUGCGGCUCAACCGUAAAAUUGCAGUUGAUACUGGAUAUCUUGAGUGCAGUUGAGGCAGGCGGAAUUCGUGGUGUAGCGGUGAAAUGCUUAGAUAUCACGAAGAACUCCGAUUGCGAAGGCAGCCUGCUAAGCUGCAACUGACAUUGAGGCUCGAAAGUGUGGGUAUCAAACAGGAUUAGAUACCCUGGUAGUCCACACGGUAAACGAUGAAUACUCGCUGUUUGCGAUAUACUGCAAGCGGCCAAGCGAAAGCGUUAAGUAUUCCACCUGGGGAGUACGCCGGCAGCGGUGAAACUCAAAGGAAUUGACGGGGGCCCGCACAAGCGGAGGAACAUGUGGUUUAAUUCGAUGAUACGCGAGGAACCUUACCCGGGCUUAAAUUGCAGAUGAAUUACGGUGAAAGCCGUAAGCCGCAAGGCAUCUGUGAAGGUGCUGCAUGGUUGUCGUCAGCUCGUGCCGUGAGGUGUCGGCUUAAGUGCCAUAACGAGCGCAACCCUUGUUGUCAGUUACUAACAGGUUCUGCUGAGGACUCUGACAAGACUGCCAUCGUAAGAUGUGAGGAAGGUGGGGAUGACGUCAAAUCAGCACGGCUCUUACGUCCGGGGCUACACACGUGUUACAAUGGGGGGUACAGAGGGCCGCUACCACGCGAGUGGAUGCCAAUCCCAAAAACCUCUCUCAGUUCGGACUGGAGUCUGCAACCCGACUCCACGAAGCUGGAUUCGCUAGUAAUCGCGCAUCAGCCACGGCGCGGUGAAUACGUUCCCGGGCCUUGUACACACCGCCCGUCAAGCCAUGGGAGCCGGGGGUACCUGAAGUGCGUAACCGCGAGGAGCGCCCUAGGGUAAAACUGGUGACUGGGGCUAAGUCAUAAC
rnacentral:rRNA from 1 species